AAGUGGGAUGACGUCAAAUCAUCAUGCCCUUAUGACCUGGGCUACACACGUGCUACAAUGGUUGGUACAACGAGUUGCGAGUCGGUGACGGCGAGCUAAUCUCUUAAAGCCAAUCUCAGUUCGGAUUGUAGGCUGCAACUCGCCUACAUGAAGUCGGAAUCGCUAGUAAUCGCGGAUCAGCACGCCGCGGUGAAUACGUUCCCGGGCCUU
rnacentral:rRNA from 1 species